rnacentral:rRNA from 1 species
UACGGAGGGGGCUAGCGUUGUUCGGAAUUACUGGGCGUAAAGCGCACGUAGGCGGUUUUGUAAGUUAGAGGUGAAAGCCCAGGGCUCAACCCUGGAAUUGCCUUUAAGACUGCAUCGCUAGAAUUGUGGAGAGGUAAGUGGAAUUCCGAGUGUAGAGGUGAAAUUCGUAGAUAUUCGGAAGAACACCAGUGGCGAAGGCGACUUACUGGACACAUAUUGACGCUGAGGUGCGAAAGCGUGGGGAGCAAACAGG